rnacentral:lncRNA from 12 species
AGGCAGCCAGGCCUACAGCAGCACAGCAGACAAGUGAUGGAGAACCACACAAAUGGGUUGCGCGGAAUCCCUGAUAAAUGGAUCCCUAACUCGGCUUACUUUUGCAAAUCUACAAAACACAGGGCCCUGCAGACUCGCAGCAGAGCCCCAUGAAAGCCUUGCAAAGGGCUCCCGCAAGGCAAGGUGAGAAACUUAAGCCUGGCUAGCUAGCUAGCUUGGAGGUGAAUUCGAACAAGGCCUGGCAGGACAUUCCGUGACACUGUCACCCCAUCCUUCCUGCCUGCACUUUACACCUUUCCUUCAGAUAGGCCGCGCGGCGUGGGUUGAGAGAAGAGCACCGGCCUUGAGUUUGGACAGUGAUCUCUCUUGGCCUCAGUGUCCUCCUUGGUGGUGGAGAUAACUACCCCACAGGGAUGUGCUGUGAGGAUUCUGUGGAGCACUGGGGAAGCCUCCCAGCCAGCAGGCUGCACUCCAGUGGUCCCUCCUCUGGGCGCUGCUGGGAAGCGGCUGGGAGGGGAAGGGUGCCAGGAACACUCCCAAGCCCAGAGGGUGGUGCUCCCCCCUUCGGGCCUGCCUGCCGGGUGGCCUCCCCCUCUGACCCCACCUCCUACACUGUGGCCUCACUGUGGCCUCCCCCACCCCCGCGCCGCCCCGGGUUCUUCUGAGGAUCCCAGAGGAGAUCAGGCUGGGAAAUCCAGAGAAGGAAUGCGAGGUCUGCUGGAGUAAGGCCUUUUAAGAACAACUGGAGGUGACCCCGGGUCCCUUCCUCCACUCCCCUGGGGCUGCGAACGGCCUCGGCCUCGGUGCCCCAGCUCUGCAGAGGCUCCCGGCCUGCCUCCCGCCGCCAGCGGCUUUGAAGCACAAGAAUGAGUUGCAGGAGCUUCAGAGACGGCCCUGCCGGGAGGCUAGCGCUUGCAGAGCAGUUCACAGGGUCACAGAGUCACCACUGCCUUUCCCGGGAGCCGCUAAGCACCACGGGCGUCCUGAGCUCCUCCUCCACCACUUCCAACAGGUCGAGGAACCGGACUCGCUAUCGGACCAAAGCCGUGAGCUCCGAGGUGGAUGAGAGCCUCUUUGGAGGUGCCAAGGUAAUGCUCGCCAGCACCCCCCACCCCGAGAGCCGGGCCCUGGAGGCAGUGACCCAGGCUGGAGUCGCUCAGGGUGACGCUAGCACGGGGCAGGCCGUCCCCUCUCCCGGGUGGCUCUCUGAGGGAGACCGAGCAGCUGGACCCACCCAGUGGGGCCCAGGUGAACAGGGGUGCCUGGCUCUCUCCACCCCUGCAACCUUCAUUUAAAAUCUGUGGUAGCAUCGAGGGGGGCUCUGCUGCAGGGAGCAGAUGGCUGCCCAGUGGGUGCCCCAGGAUGAAAACGUUUGAGGGCUGCCAACCGAGCUCGUGGACGACCCUCCGUCCAAGCGCAGCAUCGGAGCAAACCACAGGUCCUCCGGGGUGCGUUGGCUUUGGGAACCCCCAGCAGGUCUUCACGGGCAGUGUUGUCCCCACUGGGAGGCCGACAGCAUAUUCCGGGCAGAGAAGGGGGGCUAGCUAGAGCACGCCCCGAAAUGUUCCAUCACACGGCAGGUGCAGAAGGUAGGGAGACAAGGACAGAACGGGAAGGGGACGUGGAGAGAGCACAGCGAGAGACAGAGGGACAAAGGGGGGGACGGGAAAGACGCCAGAAGCCGUGGGAGCGCUGGGUGCACCCCUCUGAGGCGGGCAGGCGGCAGGAGCCGAGCGGACGUGUGUGCUCCUCCCUGUCCUCGCCCUGAGCCCAAGAGGACUUUCCAGGGGCACCUGGGUGUUGGGUCGGCUGAGCGUCCAACUCCUGGUUUGGGCUCCGGUGUGAUCUCAGGGUUGUGAGAUCGAGCCCACCUCCUCCCUCCUCCAGCUCCGCCUGGCGGGUCUGCUUGGGGAUCCCGUCUCCCUCUCCCAAUGCCUCGGCCCUCACUCCAGUCGCCCGUCUCUCUCUCUCCCUCUCUCUCUCGUAAAUAAAUAAAUCUUAAACAAACA